AAUAGAUACCCGGGUAGUCCACGCCGUAAACGAUGAGUGCUAAGUGUUAGAGGGUUUCCGCCCUUUAGUGCUGCAGCUAACGCAUUAAGCACUCCGCCUGGGGAGUACGGCCGCAAGGCUGAAACUCAAAGGAAUUGACGGGGGCCCGCACAAGCGGUGGAGCAUGUGGUUUAAUUCGAAGCAACGCGAAGAACCUUACCAGGUCUUGACAUCCUCUGACAACCCUAGAGAUAGGGCUUUCCCCUUCGGGGGACAGAGUGACAGGUGGUGCAUGGUUGUCGUCAGCUCGUGUCGUGAGAUGUUGGGUUAAGUCCCGCAACGAGCGCAACCCUUGAUCUUAGUUGCCAGCAUUCAGUUGGGCACUCUAAGGUGACUGCCGGUGACAAACCGGAGGAAGGUGGGGAUGACGUCAAAUCAUCAUGCCCCUUAUGACCUGGGCUACACACGUGCUACAAUGGAUGGUACAAAGGGCUGCAAACCUGCGAGGGUAAGCGAAUCCCAUAAAGCCAUUCUCAGUUCGGAUUGCAGG
rnacentral:rRNA from 1 species